GAUGAACGCUGGCGGCGUGCCUAAUACAUGCAAGUCGAGCGAACAGACGAGGAGCUUGCUCCUCUGACGUUAGCGGCGGACGGGUGAGUAACACGUGGAUAACCUACCUAUAAGACUGGGAUAACUUCGGGAAACCGGAGCUAGUACCGGAUAAUAUAUUGAACCGCAUGGUUCAAUAGUGAAAGACGGUUUUGCUGUCACUUAUAGAUGGAUCCGCGCCGCAUUAGCUAGUUGGUAAGGUAAAGGCUUACCAAGGCAACGAUGCGUAGCCGACCUGAGAGGGUGAUCGGCCACACUGGAACUGAGACACGGUCCAGACUCCUACGGGAGGCAGCAGUAGGGAAUCUUCCGCAAUGGGCGAAAGCCUGACGGAGCAACGCCGCGUGAGUGAUGAAGGUCUUCGGAUCGUAAAACUCUGUUAUUAGGGAAGAACAAAUGUGUAAGUAACUAUGCACGUCUUGACGGUACCUAAUCAGAAAGCCACGGCUAACUACGU
rnacentral:rRNA from 1 species